rnacentral:rRNA from 1 species
UACGUAGGGUGCAAGCGUUAAUCGGAAUUACUGGGCGUAAAGCGUGCGCAGGCGGCUUUGCAAGACAGAUGUGAAAUCCCCGGGCUCAACCUGGGAACCGCAUUUGUGACUGCAUGGCUGGAGUGCGGCAGAGGGGGAUGGAAUUCCGCGUGUAGCAGUGAAAUGCGUAGAUAUGCGGAGGAACACCGAUGGCGAAGGCAAUCCCCUGGGCCUGCACUGACGCUCAUGCACGAAAGCGUGGGGAGCAAACAGG